GCAGCCGCGGUAAUUCCAGCUCCAAUAGCGUAUAUUAAAGUUGUUGCAGUUAAAAAGCUCGUAGUUGAAUUUCGAGAUCAGUACGCUGGUCGUGCCUUCGGUAUGCACUGGUGUCACUGGUUUCUCCCUUCUGAAGAACCUUGAUGUCAUUAAUUUGGUGUCUUGGGGAAUCAGGACUGUUACUUUGAAAAAAUUAGAGUGUUUAAAGCAGGCAUACGCUUGAAUACAUUAGCAUGGAAUAAUGAAAUAGGACGUUUGAUUCUAUUUUGUUGGUUUCUAGGAUCGACGUAAUGAUUAAUAGGGAUAGUUGGGGGCAUUAGUAUUCAAUUGUCAGAGGUGAAAUUCUUGGAUUUAUUGAAGACUAACUACUGCGAAAGCAUUUGCCAAGGAUGUUUUCAUUAAUCAAGAACGAAAGUUAGGGGAUCGAAGACGAUCAGAUACCGUCGUAGUCUUAACCAUAAACUAUGCCGACUAGGGGUCGGAUGAUGUUAAUUUUUUAAUGACUCA
rnacentral:rRNA from 1 species